rnacentral:sRNA from 1 species
CUAUUUCUAUUUUUUGAACCAUUAAGAACUAAAAAUUUAAAGUGAAAAAAAUUGCAUAAAUUGCGUAUGAAGUUUGUUAAAAUACACGAAAGAAGAAAAAACCAGCGUUUAAUUCCUUUGACUGAAGAAAUCAUAAAAAUAAUGAUGAACAUUAAUAGUUCCCAUACGAGCUUUGAAAAAAUAACUGAUAGGAACAACUUUGAAACUAUUGCCGUAACAACUAUAAUUCGCGAUGAAAUUCAAAAUAUUCUACAAGAACCUUUAAUACGAGAUAAGUUUAUAAGGAAAGAGGACAUGAUUGAUUGCAUCAAAGCUAUUGUUAAAGAAGAAAUCAUUAAAAGUACUUAUGCAAAUGCAGAAGGUCCAGACAACGACCAGUUUCGGAGAGGUGAUGCAACCAAAAUUAAAGCGACGAAAGGUGCAUUAGGCUUAAAAUUAGAAGUAAACAAAACUGGGAAACCCCAUCACUACGUUGAGCCUGCUACAAAAGAACAAUUUGGGAAAAAUCAGCUUAGCAUCUAUGAUGAAAUGUAUUAUGAGAGGCGACAAUACCUUUUAAAUUUAUUGUACUAUAAAAAAUCGUCGACAUCCUUGACCCUCAUCAAACAAUCAACUCUCGACCGACGAAUAAACAAAGGUGAACCAUCUUUUUGGUAGUAAUAAACAUCUACUGCAAAAAAAUGUUUAAUAAAAUGUAAAUUAAUUACUAA